GACGAACGCUGGCGGCGUGCUUAACACAUGCAAGUCGAACGGAAAGGCCCUGCUUUUGUGGGGUGCUCGAGUGGCGAACGGGUGAGUAACACGUGAGUAACCUGCCCUUGACUUUGGGAUAACUUCAGGAAACUGGGGCUAAUACCGGAUAGGAGCUCCUGCUGCAUGGUGGGGGUUGGAAAGUUUCGGCGGUUGGGGAUGGACUCGCGGCUUAUCAGCUUGUUGGUGGUGUAGUGGCUUACCAAGGCUUUGACGGGUAGCCGGCCUGAGAGGGUGACCGGCCACAUUGGGACUGAGCUACGGCCCAGACUCCUACGGGAGGCAGCAGUGGGGAAUAUUGCACAAUGGGCGGAAGCCUGAUGCAGCAACGCCGCGUGCGGGAUGACGGCCUUCGGGUUGUAAACCGCUUUCGCCUGUGACGAAGCGUGAGUGACGGUAAUGGGUAAAGAAGCACCGGCUAACUACGUG
rnacentral:rRNA from 1 species